UUGUACGUCGUUCGGCCAAUCCCGUUCAAGAUUAGCGGGGGCUCGGCUGCGGUUAUGGAACGUGAUUGGCCGGGCGGCGUAGAAUCUUCGCAUCUUCUAGAAUCUUCGCGGGAGACAUCGAACGCGGGAACAGACUGUUGUUGGCACGUGUUUGUGGCGCGGCAGCUGGCAGGCAGUUGGCGGUCUCGCGUGGUGUGGAUUGUAGAAUUGCUGGUGAUAUUCUGAACUGAUUGUGUGAAUUGUGGUGUGUGUCCAAUAAUCUUACUGGCAUGUGCUGACUGCUGCUCAUGGACAUCAGGAAGUUUUUCAAAAGAAAGGCUUGCCUUGAUGGCAGCGACGGACCUGCCAGUGCCUGCGCUCGGCGUUCAAGAAUUGACACAGGUGCAGUGGUCUCUCAAGGUAUGUAAAAAGGAACAUUUUGGAUCUGUUAGCUGUUAG